UACAGAGGCCUCAAGCGUUAUCCGGAAUCAUUGGGCGUAAAGGGUGUCAAGGCGGUCAUGUUAGUCGUUUGUUAAAUCCGGAGGCUCAACCUCCGGCCUGCGAGCGAAACGGCAUGACUAGAGGUUGGAAGAGGUGCGUGGAACUCACGGUGUAGGGGUGAAAUCCGUUGAUAUCGUGGGGAACACCAAAGGCGAAGGCAGCGCACUGGUCCAAAUCUGACGCUCACACACGAAAGCCAGGGUAGCGAAUGGG
rnacentral:rRNA from 1 species